rnacentral:tRNA from 1 species
GCCGGGGUGGCGGAACCUGGUUAUCGCGCCGGCCUUGAGAGCCGGUGGCCCUCUGGGCCUUCUGGGUUCAAAUCCCAGCCCCGGCG